UGGGGAAUAUUGCACAAUGGGCGCAAGCCUGAUGCAGCCAUGCCGCGUGUAUGAAGAAGGCCUUCGGGUUGUAAAGUACUUUCAGCGAGGAGGAAGGCAUUAAGGUUAAUAACCUUAGUGAUUGAACGUUACUCGCAGAAGAAGCACCGGCUAACUCCAGUGCCAGCAGCCGCGGUAAUAACGGGGGUGCUAAGCGUUAAUCGGAAUUACUGGGCGUAAAGCGCACGCAGGCGGUCUGUCAAGUCGGAUGUGAAAUCCCCGGGCUCAACCUGGGAACUGCAUUCGGAAACUGGCAGGCUAGAGUCUUGUAGAGGGGGUAGAAUUCCAGGUGUAGCGGUGAAAUUGCGUAGAGAUCUGGAGGAAUACCGGUGGCGAAGGCGGCCCCCUGGACAAAGACUGACGCUCAGGUGCGAAAGCGUGGGAGCAAACA
rnacentral:rRNA from 1 species